CCCCUUUCCAGUCCGGCGUGGGGGCCUAGAUCCCAUCACACUCCCCUCCAGCAGGUCCCCCGACUUGGCUCCCCUCUACGAUUCUUCGGGGUUCGCUCGGGCCCUCUCGGUGUGGUUCCUGAGUCCGUCGCUUGAAGGUCCUCCUGAGCUGCCAGUAUGAAUUUAGGUUGGGCCGCGGCUGCUGCUACCAGAAAAUGGAGCAGGAGGUGCGGCCUAGGCCGGGCCUGGUGUGGCGGCGGCGCCGGCGCGCAGUGAAGAACCUGCUGUUGCUCUCCUUGGUGGACCUCGCACAAACGCUGGCGAUGACAAGGCUGCAAGCCAUCACAAAUCCACCUCCAACUUCCUCGGCGAGGUCGGCUUCGGCCCGGUCUACAUGCUAUCCGUCGACGGCGGCCUCCGCCCCGGCCUCGCCAGCAGCAGAUCGCCAUCAAGAUGCUCGGCUUCGACAACAACGACGUCCAGCGGCAGCGAAUUGCUGGCCAAGGUGAUGUAUCGGCGGAUGCUGCGCCCCCUUCCAUAAUGGUAGCCAUUCUCUUGGCAAGCUGAGCUCCUGCAUAUUAGUAAGAAGUCUUGCUCCUCUGUAUCUGUCAUGGGCUUGUGUCAAGGGUCGCGAACUUCCUGAGUAUGUCGACAGGUUCUGUAUUCUGUUCUUCGGGUUUUUUCAGUCUUCAGUAUUUUGUUCUCAUGAAAAAAGGUUAUAUUCACUGUACACAACCGAUCAAAUCAGCCCUCGCUGGCCUUCUGUUCCAGUCAUAACCCACUGACUGAUCAAGCCAGAAAUAAUCCUACUGCAGUGCAUCCUACACCAGUUUUUCAUCUCCCCCACUUAGCUUUUCAUUAUGGCCUUUAAUAAACACAAGUGCAUAUAGGAAUCCAAGUAAAUAGCAACAGCAAUUACUAACAGGUUACAGAUCUUUUCCUUGGUCUCCAUCCCUCCUACCUUGAUCGGAAACAGUUCUACACCACUAUUAAAUCCAUCUAUUAAAACUGCUCUACAGGUCCAUCGUUUCAGCUUUUGGUUCAUUAGCUCUUUAAACUGAGCCACGAGAAGGAGGGGCCACCAAUGUUGGGGGCGCGUGUACAUCGCCCCUGGCCACCGGAGGAAGCGGUCAGUUUUUCCCGUACACACCUAUUUGACUACAAAUUCAAAUUCAUUUUUGUUUUUGCAAGAAUUGUAACAGUAGGACGCAUGAUCAUCUCCCCCCAACCUGCAUGGUGAAUAAUAAUAACUUUUAUGAUUAUACAUGAGCCAGUACCAUCGCUGAUCCUGAUCUGCUAUUUGGAUAAUUGUACUUCCGUCGAAUUGUACUUCUCUUUAUGUCGUUUGCAAGCUAGCCAUUGUUAUGGAUCCAGACAUGAUAACUACGCUUUCGUGGACCUAUACUUCUAUGCAUGUUGUUUCAGGCAAGACAUUGUUACAGAUCCAUCAAAAAUUAAAUUACUACUCCCUCCAUCCACAUAUAUAGGGCCUAAUACGUUUUUCAGGUUACAUUUGACAACAGGUUAGCACAAUAACAUAUGACAUGCAUGUUACACAAAGCAUACCAUUGAAUUCGUAUAUGAAAGGAGUUUCUAAUGAUAUAAUUUUUAUAUCAUACAUCUCAUAUACUAAUAAUUUUAUUAUUGGUCAAAGGCUACCUCGAAAAAUGUAUUUGACUCUAUAUCUGGAUGGAGGGAGUACCAUUUGUUCUACACAUGUUCCCUAUGAAAUGGCCUUUGGUUGUACGUGGCUUGGGCAAAAUUUUGAUUUCCUAAUUGUCCAUAUGAAUGUUUAUGGCUCCUGUAGUUCUUUAUACACAAGCGUCAGCUGCUGAUAUGGUUGAUGGAAGUAUGAGGUAUGUUCUCCACAUUUUCAAAGAUAGAAAAGUUCUAUGGGUAGCUAGAGCGAUGUCUUUUUUAUUUACAAUAUCUAUACUGCUGAAUAAUGACUUGUGGCUGUAUGUCCUUGUAUAUUUGGUGCAUUUACCUACGAUUGGUAAUGAUAUUAAGUAUUCCUUAAUUAAUCUCAGAUAUACCUUUGCAGACUAUGCUUUAUGAUCCAAUGGGAGAUUUGACAAAGCAAGAUAUUUUUCAACAGAUAUGUUUCUUCAUCAGUUGUGAAAAGUACAAUAUUUAACACAUGUUUUUUUAUUGUGUUUUCAACCAACAAAUGUAUCCACGAGCAAUUUUUAUUCCAAAAACUACUGCACUUUCCGGUGAAAAAGGAACAAUUGGACUAGAUGGACAACAAUGGGCGUAGGCCAUCCAAUAGAUGUGAUUUCCUGUUCGCUUUUGUCAAAUAUCUUCAUAAUUGUACAGUCACUCACGUUAUUAAUAUUCGGAUCUUCGGAGAGGC